GAUGAACGCUGGCGGCGUGCCUAAUACAUGCAAGUCGAGCGAAUGGAUUAAGAGCUUGCUCUUAUGAAGUUAGCGGCGGACGGGUGAGUAACACGUGGGUAACCUGCCCAUAUGACUGGGAUAACUCCGGGAAACCGGGGCUAAUACCGGAUAACAUUUUGAACCGCAUGGUUCGAAAUUGAAAGGCGGCUUCGGCUGUCACUUAUGGAUGGACCCGCGUCGCAUUAGCUAGUUGGUGAGGUAACGGCUCACCAAGGCAACGAUGCGCAGCCGACCUGAGAGGGUGAUCGGCCACACUGGGACUGAGACACGGCCCAGACUCCUACGGGAGGCAGCAGUAGGGAAUCUUCCGCAAUGGACGAAAGUCUGACGGAGCAACGCCGCGUGAGUGAUGAAGGCUUUCGGGUCGUAAAACUCUGUUGUUAGGGAAGAACAAGUGCUAGUUGAAUAAGCUGGCACCUUGACGGUACCUAACCAGAAAGCCACGGCUAACUACGUGCCAGCCGCCGCUGUAA
rnacentral:rRNA from 1 species